rnacentral:SRP_RNA from 1 species
GCUGGGCGUGGUGGCGUGUGCCUGUAAUCCCAGCUACUCAGGAAGCUGAGGCAGGAGGAUUGCUUGAGGCCAGGAGUUUAAGGCUAUAGCGUGCAAUGAUAAUGCAUGUGAGUAACUACUGCAGUCCAGCCUGGACAACAGAACAAGACCCUGUCUCAA